UGGUAGGGAUCCUUUAGCGGUGAGAAAACACGUUGUUUUCUAAUCAUUUCCUCCUGAAAAUGGCGGCUGUAUUGGAUGAGGUCGGCAAGUCCGCCGAGAAACUUGUAGACGAAGAAAAAGAUGAAAUUGUCGAAGUAGAAGAUGAAGCCGGUGCCAGCGAUGCGGCUAAAAAAAAGAAGAAGAAGAAGAAGAAGAAGGCCGGUGCUGGAGCAGCAAGUGCUGAUGUUCCAGAGGGAGGGGAAGAAAAAGCUCAAGCCGAGGACGCAUCACCCGAAGUAGAAGUCACUGAAAAUGGCGGAGACUCAGAGGAGACCAAGAAAAAGAAGAAAAAGCGUAAGCCACGUGGAAAAGCAGGUGGUGUAAAGCAGCAGACAGAUCCCCCUACAAUUCCGAUAUCGGAUUUAUUUCCCGAUGGAAAUUUUCCAAUUGGUGAAAUCCUAGUGCAUCCUCCUGCAACAGGAAUCGAUGAAAAAACAGCCAAGGAUCGUUUCAGCAGUGAGGAGGCACGAACCCUCGAUAGAAUGCACAAUGACAUUUACAACGAAGCCAGGCAAGCUGCUGAAGCCCAUCGGCAAACCAGAAAACACAUAAAGAACUGGGUAAAGCCAGGCAUGACCAUGAUAGAAAUUUGCAAUGAGUUGGAAAAUACUGCAAGGCAAUUGAUCGGAGAGGACGGAUUGAAAGCUGGUCUGGCAUUCCCGACAGGAUGUUCACGUAAUCAUUGCGCAGCCCACUAUACUCCAAAUGCAGGGGAUCCAACGGUCUUGGAAUACGACGAUGUGACAAAAAUUGAUUUUGGAACACAUAUCAACGGUCGUAUAAUCGAUUGUGCUUUCACCCUGGCAUUUAAUCCGAAGUAUGAUAAGCUGAUCGAGGCCGUUCGGGACGCAACUAAUACCGGAAUAAGAGCGGCAGGAAUUGACGUACAGCUAUGCGACGUCGGAGCCGCUAUUCAGGAAGUCAUGGAGUCUUACGAAGUCGAAAUAGAUGGAAAAACUUAUCAGGUUAAAUCUAUAAGAAAUCUGAACGGACACUCCAUAGCACCGUAUCGAAUUCAUGCGGGAAAAACUGUCCCAAUCGUAAAAGGUGGCGAAGCAACCAGAAUGGAAGAGAACGAAUUUUAUGCCAUCGAAACCUUUGGAUCGACUGGGCGGGGAAUAGUCCAUGACGAUCUCGAUUGCUCUCAUUACAUGAAGAGUUUCGACGCUGGAUUUGUACCCCUAAGACUGCAGAGCAGCAAGUCCUUAUUGAACACGAUCAACAAACAUUUCGGUACGCUAGCUUUUUGCAAACGCUGGCUGGACCGUGCAGGCUGCACAAAGUAUCAAAUGGCGUUGAAAGAUCUUUGUGACAAAAAUGCAGUAGAGGCUUACCCGCCUUUGGUUGAUAUCAAAGGUUGUUAUACAGCUCAGUUUGAGCACACUCUGGUUCUGCGACCAACAUGCAAGGAAGUUAUUUCCCGGGGAGAUGAUUACUAAUCGAAAGAUCGUAGUAAUUGCACACUUAUGUGAGACGCAGCAGUUUAAUCAUUCGUUGGCGACUAUUGUGUCGCAGGGUAAAAUAAUACAUUCAACGAAGCUAUUCGUACAACUAUGGCAUUGACUGUGACGUGAACGUUGAAUCGAACAUCAAAUUAUAAUUUUUGGAAAUCGUGUGAUGAUUUUUUGUAAUGAUUGUGUAUAAAAUUUAUGUACACACCACUUAUACCUGUGUAAGUACGGAUAUAUGAUGCACGUGUAUGCAUUGCGGGCGCCUUCCACACGCUACAUUAUUCAUAUACAUGUAUGUAUACACAAACAUAUUGUCCCUGUAUAUCAUAUACAUAUGUAUACAUACGCAUCAUGGAUAAAAAAAAUUUCUUAUUUCUCCUCUUCACUUUAAAUCAAAUAACAGAGUAUUUCAUAGUGUCGCUGUAUUUGAAUAUUGCUUUAUUUUAUACCAUUGUGUGUUAUUUCCCAAUGAUCGGAAAUAACGGGAAUAGAAACUUAACGUUAAUGUUAAAUAAAAUAUGUUUGACAUCAUUAAC
rnacentral:misc_RNA from 1 species